AUGUGAAUAUACUGAGCCGAGUCUUAUUUUAAUUUUCUAUAUUCUUUCUUCCUUAUAUAUUCCUUUCCUUUUCCUUUGCUUUCAUUUUUCAUGUUUUUUAUUUUCUUUCUUAAUUCCACCUGAUCAAUUCCCACUCCCUGCCUCCCUUGUGAUGAAGCCUUGGGAAAGAUUAAAUAUAUUUGGUAGGUCUUUGAAUUUCAUACUCCCUUAUCACCUUGUCAUGUAUAAUCCUUAACACAUUGGAAUUGUAAUAUGCCAGGAAACUGUUAAAGAACAAUUGGCAACGGCAAAUGCUAAAUUUCUGGAACAGUUUUGCUCUUUGCUAAUCAAAUGCCAUGAUCUACAAAGCUUAAUCCUGAAAUGUCAGAAAUAAGACUAUGAUUAAAAACAACUCAUAUGUUUUGACAGCAUAGAUAUCACUUACUCCAUGCAUGUGAACUAACAGCGUGUCUGGUUUGGCUACAGAAGUAUCAUAAACUGUCAUGCACGUGAUCAAUCAUAUAAACAGAGUAAGAAAUGCAAGAGUGACCACGGCUCAUCACUGCCGACACUGCCUGAUUUCACGCUUGACAUGUGCUUAGACACUAAACACAGCUGAGGCUGGCCUUUGAUUGUUGAACCUUUGGAAAGUAAGAAGGUGUUGAAAGUGUUUGGUAAUGUUGUUUUGACUAGAUACAUGUAGAAAGGCCCCCAUAAGAGUACUCUAAUUCUCUUAUUCAUCUAAGUUUAAUGAAGGAACUCCAUGGAAUAAUGUAAGGUCUACGUAUCGAACUUCUGGAAGACAAACCCUACACUAAAAGUUACCUUGUACCUCAAAGGCUUGUGAUAGAUUAAUCCUAAGCUUUCCUCUAAAUUACUCACCAUGGCAUAAUAGGACCCUUUUCAAAUUUUCUUUUCAUAUUUCUAUUAUAUUUGAGAACUAAUUGAGGAAAAGAAAACCAUAAAAAAAAAAGAAGAUGAGAACAAAUGACGCAAAAACGUCCACGUGCGCUUUCUCCUAUCCAAUGUGUACUUUAGCUCCAUCAUAUGAUUAAAACUUCACUAUGGUCAAUGCCUCCAGCAGAAAUGCUUUAGUAUCUCCUUGUAAUAUCUUUCCAAUCUCUUAAGUAAUUGGACUGAGUUCUGUAUUAAAUAUAGGUGUACUCUGUUACCCCUAUAUAUUGAAAAUAACAUGUUUUUUUUUAUAUCGACUUCUAAGACUCAGAUACAUGAUUCAGAGCUUCUGCAUUAUAAGUAAAAUGAUGAUAUUCAUUAAAAUACAAGCUUACAAGUGCUUUUUUACAAGAGAUGUGGACACUAAUCUAAAGUCAUUCCAAUGAUAAUAAAAGAAAUAAUCUUAAAUCUGAUAUCAUAUAUUAUAGUUAUGUAGGUGUAUUUUCUUUUAUACCCUUUAUAAUUACAUUUCUUCCCUUUUUACUGAAAAUUUAAAAUCAUUUAUAUCCUACAUAUAUUUUUUAAUUUUCUGAUAGGUGUGAAGGAAACUAAUCCAACCACUGAAAAAUGCACAGGUAACCUGCAAAUACAAAAUACCAAUAUACAAUAAGAAAAUAAUAGGAAAAAAUAUUUAUUCUUUUGUUGUCAUGAAUCAAAUGACAAUUAACAUGAAACUAUAAUACCAAAGCUUGUUUUACUGCCUUUUUUAUAAGUAAGAACUUUGGCUGCCCCAUACCUCCGCAAUAUUGAGCAAUUUAUCAAUCGGAGACAUUAUUGGCUGGCAUCUAAUGAUGCUGGACUGUACAAUCUGGGUUAAAAACAAAAUAAGAGCAUCCCACUUUGACCUAUUCUGAUGAUUUUGCAACUUCAAAGACUUGAAAAAUAAACAGGGCUUUUCCACUCAAUAAAAUGCAACGGUGAGACGAGGUUAAGUGCCAUUGUCGGUGCUUUCAUAAAGAGUUGUGGAUUUGUUUCUUAGUGGGAAAUUUAGGGAGUCCGGCAUUAAGGAUGGCCUGAUAUGAAAAGUAUUGCUAAUGCACGAUUUGAGACUAGAAAAAAUGUACAGUACAUCUAAAAAUACACAUUUUCUCAUCUAAUGUGAAUCAGUUUGGAAAAUGGGCCCAAAAUUUGAUUUUGUCUCUCGCGGUGAAUGUCCCGCAUCAAUCACGAGAGGAGACAUGGUUUGCUAGUAUUACUAUGCUACAGCAUUAUGAGUAUGCGGCCUGCCGAUGUAAAUCCAGAAAGUGAUGUAGAUGAGAACAUGCAACAUAAGUUGGAAUUAAGUUACACUUUGUUAGCGAUCCUAACCCAUUAGACUGGAGGCUAAAUGCACAGAUGUGUUGCAGAACAAACAGAGGACAAGAGACCGGGGUAGGAAGAGAUUGAUUUACACUUGUCAUGAUGAAAAUUUAAAAAAAAACAAUCUACUAUGAAAAGGAUUGAAAUGAGGAGGCUCUUGUUUAAUAAUUCCUUUUAGUGUCUCUUUAAAAAUAACAAAUAAACUCCACCUUCCAUUGAAUAGAAAUCAUGAAAAUGAUAAAAAGAGAAUAUGAAAUUAUGAUCAAUUUUUUACUAUACACGUUAUACACUGUUAUGAAGUAGAUGGACAUUAAGGUUUAUCAUCACCUACCAUCACCUGUAAAUGUUGAAGAUCACUUUUAAAAGUUUUAGUGACAAAACUCAUUGUUGAAGAGGCAAAAUAUUACAGGGGAAGCAGCUUAUUAGACUUACAAAUUUGAAAAUGAUCUUAAAGUUUGACAGAUGAUCAUAUUUUAUUUCAAUAAUCAAUGAAAUCAUUCAUUUAUUUAUUAUUCUUACAAAACAAGCAUGCAUUUCAUGAGAAAAGUACCCAAAAAUGAGAUCUGAGCACACUCAAACAGCAAGGUUUCACAUGCCAUUUGUUCCUUAAGAAAAAUUGUAUAACAUUUCAUUCAAGAACACAAUGCAAGCAAUACUAUUCAUCUCUCAACAUGAAAUAAACUAGAAAACCCAAGACAUGGAUUACAGAAGGAAACGUAGUAUUGAAAGUUGCGAGAUGUCACGAAAGCAAGCAUUUUUUGUAUCAUGAGGAAAUGAUGAUCGACAAACCUUUUUCAACAAGGAAUAUUUGCUGAUAUUUGUAAUCGGAUUUGAUAUGAUAUAAGCAAGCCCUACUCCAUAGAUGCAUGCACAUGUAGUUAUUAGAUACGAUCGGCAGCAUUAAGCAUUACAAAUUGGUCUAGAAAUCGCGUCUCCUGGCUGAAAUGAGGCUCUGCUGAAUCGUCUUGAUAUUGUCCAAUUUAACUGGUGUGGUGUCAUGCAGAGAUCUGUUUAUGAAUUUCAAACAACCCUGAGUUAUGAUCAACAAUGAGAUCGCAAGAUCUUUCUGGUGGGGUUGAACCUACGCUUCUUACAAUAAUCUUGUUAUUAUCUUUCAUCAUUUGAAUUAUUUUUUUUUGAUGCAACAAUUCUUUUGAAGAACUGGUUAGUUAUUACUUUAUGAAAUCCAUAUAUUUUUUGAUAAUGAAAUCAAUAUUUUAAUUUCUGCAUUCUAUGUUCUCUUCUGUAUUAGAUAUCAUUGGCAAGUAACCACACCCAGGAACAGACAAUAAUCCAAUUUGAGAAAGCAAACUGAAAAAGAAUCCCUCAAAGAUGAAUUCCCUCAUCCUGGUUGUCAUGGGCCUGCUCCUCUUCACAGCAGAACUCAUCCCAGCCGCUCCUGCCCCUUUCUUUGACGAAGACGCAAUGGACCUGAUGGAGCCUGUCCUCAACUACCAGGAAGACCAGACCGUAAAGCGAAGCGCCCUCAUGCAGAAAUCUUGCAUCUUCACCUGUCUAGCUUGCUCUAAGAACACCCAUAUGCAAACGACGGACUGCAUCUCUGGUUGCAACGGCGCAGGGCGAGACCCGAGCCAGGCACGAGCAUACAAGGCCUGCCACAUGUACCUUCACAGUGGACGUAAAUAAAACCAUUUUUGAGAACUUCAAGACUUCAUCCAUCCCUCACAAAAAAACUAGCAGAUGAUAAUAUACAUGCUUUAAUAUUUUUUAAAUUUCCAUUCAAUCGGUCACUUUUUCGAUAGUUUGCACCGCUGGGGAAACACUUUCACCUUCUUCCACGAGACUUUCACAUUUAGUUGAUUUCUUGGGGUGUUAAUUGUCAAUCCCCUUUUCCUUCAUCUACUUCAAGUUACGCUCUGCCAUUUACUCUUCACGCAACUAUCAAUGCCCCUCUAUGAUUUCAUCACAUCUUAAGAUGUACUUUAAAGUGUAGAUUGAUUCUCUUUAUAAAUAGAGGUUAUUGGCUAUGAUUUUUCCCAACUUUGUUUCUAGUUAGAUGUAUAAGCACGAACCCACUAUGUAUUGCACAUUUCUCAAAUUUACAAUAUGUGAAUUGCUUUGUAAAAUUUGUACAAAAAAAGUAAUAUACCAACAUAAUGUAAAUACAGAGUUGCUCUAUGCCUGAUAUCUUUAAUUUUGAUUUUUACAUUUUGGAACCUUACAUCUAAGCACACAGUAGUAGUUCAUUUAUAAAAGAUUAAAUUAGUUUUAUUUUGUAUAUUCAUGGAUGUGUCUGAAAGUGAGAAAGAAGUUUAAAUAUCCCUGUCAUAAUGACAGAGAAGUACAAUAUUGACCUUGCCAUUUUCAUUGUGAUAUGAGCUAUAGUGUUGCAAUAAGCCAUUCUUUCUCCAUAGCUGUAGUUUUCUACUGUCUUAAAGUGUAAGACCCCAUUCUCAUUAUAUUUUCUAUAAUUAGCUUAGUGGAAACUGGUUCAGGAAACCAGUUUGGAAGAUUGAUUUGCUAGCCUUCCCAUCUGAUCACCCCAAAAUGGUUUACAAAACUACUUCACGUAAAGCAGUCUUGUUGCUACAGGAAUGCUCUCAGUGGGGUGAUGUUUGAAAUCGCAGUGUAGACGUUCUAUACACAGUGUGUGGAAUAGCGCGCCAAACAGAUUCCCGAAGAAUGGCUGGGUCCUCAUCUACACUUAAACUGGUUUAAUGAGGCAGAGAGUUCUUGAAAACCGCAUCACAAGCAUUCCUAUUACACGAUCGACUAGUCUCCACUAAACUGGUUUCCACUUAACUAGUUUUAGGACUGUAAUGAGAACGGGGUCUUAAGGCCUCAUCACACCAAACUGGGUUAGGCCAGUGUGUCCCAAACCAUACAAACACAAAAGAUCUGUUAUCAUGCUGAGCAUGGUGUGAAUUUAGUGUGAGAUCAUCAUGGAGAUUACCAACUAAUCCAUUUGUUUUAUACAACAUCAGGCCAGAAUGAAGCCUCAAAGAGUUUUUGGUGUGACCAGACCUUUACUCAAACAUUUCCAUGCUCUAAUGGAAAAAGAUAAAUAUAAUAGUACAAAAACAUAUUUCGUACUAGUGAUAAAGCUUUAUACUGGGAGACGCUCUCCUCACUCACAAUGGAGAGGCUGUCUAUGCUGGAGAGCUCUCUCCUUACUAUCAAUGAUCUAUCAAAUUUUCAUAAAAGCCAGCUUAAUCAAAGAAAUGACUGGAUCAUUGAUCAAUAUUCCCCAGGUAUAUAUAGCUACCAAUGAUCAUUCUAACAAGAACGAAUACGGAAGUAUUUAUCUGGACCAAACUUCUUGCGCACGAGUGAGGAUUGUGUCUUUAAUUGUAAAGUUCUCCUCAAUGAUGGGAAUAUACGGUAAUAUCUCCCAGAUUUUAUAGGGCUGAUGUUCUAUUCUACCUAUUGAUUCUCAUGAAAGGGUUUUUAUUUCAUCGAGAAGGGCAUUUUUCAAGAGUUAUCAUCAAUUUUGUUAUGAAUAAUAUCAAAAUAUCCCAAGAUCAUAGAUGACAUUUUAAGAGUCAAUAUAUCAUUUUAAGGGAUAGAGCUUUCUUUCUCAUACCACUUAAUAGAGAGCUUCUCAUUUACUAUGGAGCCACUCUCUACAGCGCACCAAUUUCUUUCAAAAUGCAAGUCAAAACACAAUGGAGAGCUGAGAGGCUUUUGUCUAAAGUUAGUGGACCGGGGACAGCAGCAUAGUGUCUUGACUCUGUACAACGACAUAAUUAUUUGCGAUUGUUCAUCCCAUGCAAAUCUUUGGAUGAUCAUCUAUCCCGGUGCACCAACUUUCAACAAAAACAUCUCAGCUCUCCAUUGUGAUUUUACUCUGAAAGGAAUUGGUGCGCUGUAGGGAGUGACACCAUAGGAAAUAUGCAAACUCUAUACGGUUAUAGAGACAAGA
rnacentral:lncRNA from 1 species